rnacentral:rRNA from 1 species
GACAGAGGGUGCAAACGUUGUUCGGAAUUACUGGGCGUAAAGCGUGUGUAGGCGGCUACGCAAGUCGGAUGUGAAAGCCCCGGGCUCAACCCGGGAAGUGCACCCGAAACUGCGUGGCUCGAGUACCGGAGAGGGUCGCGGAAUUCCCGGUGUAGAGGUGAAAUUCGUAGAUAUCGGGAGGAACACCAGUGGCGAAGGCGGCGACCUGGGCCAAUAUUGACGCUGAGGUGCGAAAGCGUGGGGAGCAAACAGG